rnacentral:rRNA from 1 species
GACGAACGCUGGCGGCGUGCCUAAUACAUGCAAGUAGAACGCUGAAGGAGGAGCUUGCUUCUCUGGAUGAGUUGCGAACGGGUGAGUAACGCGUAGGUAACCUGCCUGGUAGCGGGGGAUAACUAUUGGAAACGAUAGCUAAUACCGCAUAACAGUAGAUAUCGCAUGAUAUCUACUUGAAAGUUGCAAUUGCAUCACUACCAGAUGGACCUGCGUUGUAUUAGCUAGUUGGUGAGGUAACGGCUCACCAAGGCGACGAUACAUAGCCGACCUGAGAGGGUGAUCGGCCACACUGGGACGGAGACACGGCCCAGACUCCUACGGGAGGCAGCAGUAGGGAAUCUUCGGCAAUGGACGGAAGUCUGACCGAGCAACGCCGCGUGAGUGAAGAAGGUUUUCGGAUCGUAAAGCUCUGUUGUAAGAGAAGAACGAGUGUGAGAGUGGAAAGUUCACACUGUGACGGUAUCUGACCAGAAAGGGACGGCUAACUACGUG